rnacentral:lncRNA from 1 species
AGGUGAAACAGCAACCAUAGCAUGAUAAGGAUUUGAUGGUAACAAUUAAGAAAGAAUUUCCGUAUAAUCAUUUAAUUUCUCUAUGAGAACUGUAUGAAGAGUACCUUGGUGAGGAAAUCCACAUUAAUAAUUCUUCUUACAGUGAGAGGAUACAAUUAAGAGUGGCUACCACCAGAUCCCUCUCUCCACUACUUGUCACAUAGAUGAGAACCUAAUCUGGAACUUGGAAAUUAAGCUAUAUAGAUAUGGAUAAAAGUACUCCAUGUUGGAGCUAAUAUCACAAAUUAAAGGAGGAAGACUAUGGUGAUAUAUCAAAUCUCCUCAGGGAUGCUCUGAAGCGCAGGCCUCCAAUCACCCCGGUAGCUCUUCGUGGUCUCGGCCCUCUUCAUGUGCAGCUUUCGGAGGACAUGCAGUAGCUGCUCCAAGCUCGGCGGCGCCGCCAUGUGAUGAUGAGCUGCAUUAUUAUUUUUUUGGCUUAUAGAUGCCAUCAUUUGUCUCAAUUCUUGCUUGCUAACUACAAUCUUUAUACGAACUACUCCCUUCUCCUCCUCCUGAGAGAUGACUCCUCCACUAUGAAGCUUUUUGAUGGCCUCUGUGAAACUCUUUUUGGCCAUUUUGGACUCCAUAUCCACCUUAACCUCUCCUUUUUCUUUGAAGGUAACGCAUGGCCUUUGUUGCAGGGACUUGAUCUUAUAUAAAGAUGGAGUCAGCUGAUAGAUCUCUGAUGAAGGCGGCUAGAUUAAUUAUGGGAAUUGGGAAAUGAAUCUAAAUAAAGAAUAGAGGAUUACUAUAAUAUGACUUGCUAUUCUAC